GACGAACGCUGGCGGCGUGCUUAACACAUGCAAGUCGAACGCUGAAGCUCAGCUUUUGUUGGGUGGAUGAGUGGCGAACGGGUGAGUAACACGUGAGUAACCUGCCUCCUUCUUUGGGAUAACGCCCGGAAACGGGUGCUAAUACUGGAUAUUCACUGGUCUUCGCAUGGGGGUUGGUGGAAAGGGUUUUUCUGGUGGGGGAUGGGCUCGCGGCCUAUCAGCUUGUUGGUGGGGUGAUGGCCUACCAAGGCUUUGACGGGUAGCCGGCCUGAGAGGGUGACCGGUCACAUUGGGACUGAGAUACGGCCCAGACUCCUACGGGAGGCAGCAGUGGGGAAUAUUGCACAAUGGGCGCAAGCCUGAUGCAGCGACGCCGCGUGAGGGAUGGAGGCCUUCGGGUUGUGAACCUCUUUCGCUCAUGGUCAAGCCGCAACAAUGGUUGUGGUGAGGGUAGUGGGUAAAGAAGCGCCGGCUAACUGCGUG
rnacentral:rRNA from 1 species